rfam:Ciona savignyi cont_23101, whole genome shotgun sequence.
UACCUGGUUGAUCCUGCCAGUAGUCAUAUGCUUGUCUCAAAGAUUAAGCCAUGCAAGUCUAAGUACGAGCUCUCGUACAGUGAAACUGCGAAUGGCUCAUUAAAUCAGUUAUGGUUCAUUUGAUCGUACAGUUUACUUGGAUAACUGUGGUAAUUCUAGAGCUAAUACAUGCGAGAAGCGCCGACCUCGCGGGAGGCGUGCAUUUAUCAGACCAAAAACCGGCCGCGUCUUCGGGCGCGUUCGCCUUGGUGACUCUGGAUAACUUUGCGGAUCGCACGGUCUAGCACCGGCGACGGAUCAUUCAAGUGUCUGCCCUAUCAACUUUCGUCGGUACGGUAUUUGCCUACCGAGGUUCUUACGGGUGACGGGGAAUCAGGGUUCGAUUCCGGAGAGGGAGCCUGAGAAACGGCUAC